UGGUUUGAUCCUGGCUCAGGACGAACGCUGGCGGCGUGCCUAAUACAUGCAAGUCGAGCGAAUCUUUGGGAGCUUGCUCCCAUUGGUUAGCGGCGGACGGGUGAGUAACACGUGGGCAACCUGCCUGUAAGACUGGGAUAACUUCGGGAAACCGGAGCUAAUACCGGAUAAUUCUUUUCCUCUCAUGAGGAAAAGCUGAAAGACGGUUUACGCUGUCACUUACAGAUGGGCCCGCGGCGCAUUAGCUAGUUGGUGAGGUAACGGCUCACCAAGGCGACGAUGCGUAGCCGACCUGAGAGGGUGAUCGGCCACACUGGGACUGAGACACGGCCCAGACUCCUACGGGAGGCAGCAGUAGGGAAUCUUCCACAAUGGACGAAAGUCUGAUGGAGCAACGCCGCGUGAGCGAUGAAGGCCUUCGGGUCGUAAAGCUCUGUUGUUAGGGAAGAACAAGUACCGGAGUAACUGCCGGUACCUUGACGGUACCUAACCAGAAAGCCACGGCUAACUACGUGCCAGCAGCCGCGGUAAUAA
rnacentral:rRNA from 1 species